GUUAUGGGGCAGCCUGGGUGGGAGGGGAGUUUGGGGGAGAAUGGAGACAUGUACAUGCAUGGCUGAGUCCCUUUUCUGUCCACCUGAAACUAUCAAAAUGUUGUUCAUCGGCUAGACACCAAUACAAAAUAAAAAGUUUUUAAAAAGGCACCCAGAGAGGUCCCUCUUCCUCUUUCUGCCACCUGAGGACAGAGCAUGAAGUUGGCCUUGUAUGAACCUCCAAGGGAGCUCUCACCAGAACUCCACCAUAAUCUCGGUCAUCCAGUUUCCAAAACUGUGAGAAGGAAAUUUCUGCUGUUACAAGCCACCCAGUCUAGGUAUUUUUGUUAGAGCAGCCAGAACAGAUGAAGACAGGAGAUGAGGGGGGAAACUUGAGGGGGUGGAUAGAGCGGGGAGGGGUGGAGAGACAGGGCUUGCAGAUGCUCCAGGGGUGCCGGGAGGCCCAUGGACCAGGCAGCUGCGAGGAGAGGGAGCAGAGGUAUUUAUCCGCCAAGCCCCUUUCCGCCUGGACCAAGGCCUGGUUGCUGGGGGCGUGCAUCGGCGCACGUCUGGCUCCUGGCCACAAGCACUGCACUGGUCAGGGGCCUGGAAGUGGUCCAGGCUUGGCAGCAUCUGUGUGGGGGGGGCGGGGGUGGCGGGUAUAAACAGUCAGGUCCAUCUAGUCAAAGCUUUGGUUUUUCCAGUAGUCAUGUAUGGAUGU
rnacentral:lncRNA from 1 species